UUUACAGAUCCUGUGUCAUUUAUUAGGGCCCAGCCAGGGAUGACGUAAGACCAGGUACCAAGUCGUUGAGAGGCCUUCAAUGAAAAACUGUUUGAUUCAUUAGUCUCUGAGUAAAAACGUUCCAAGACACACAAUUUUGUGUUGUCUUUCCACAGAUUUGACAAGUUUUAUCAUUUGGAGCAGUAAAGUCAGAGGCCACUGAACGUUUUUUUAAAAAUGUAUUUGUUUUAUUAAAUCCAGCUCCAGACUGUUUAUUUUUAUUUAAUCCAAAACUAAAAAAACAUUUAUUAACGGGUCGUGACCCGGUGUCAGAGACUUCCUCCAGAAUUCUAAAGCACUGUUGUUAAGAAAUGUUGUUAAAUAGCUCUGUUAUUUUAUAUAAAUCAAGUUUUCUUUUUUCAUUUCUCUAUGAAAAAUGUCAUAUGAAAAAGAAAAUCAAACCACGUCCCCUGAAGUCGUUAAGGAGUUUCCUGUGUGUGUGUGUGUUUGGUGUGUAUCUGUGUGUGAGAAAGAAAGUGUGUGUGUCAUUGUUUCUCUUCUAUUUCCCUUUCAUUUUGUCAGAGUCACGGUUCAUAUCUGUCCUUCAUUUUCAGUAUCUGUGCCUCUGGUUUGUGGUCACGGAAACGACGUGUACACAUACAGUACUGGACUUCUGCUUUAGGUGCAUCACUGUGAAAGUGCACACCCACACACACACACUGUUGACCGGGUGUGUGUGGGUGUGAUGCAGUGAAGUCAAUGCACAAUCAGUUGUUCCUCUCAGCCUGGCAUGAAGCCACACCACAGACCUUGUGGCUGCUCGGAAGACACACACACACACAAACAAAUACUUCCUUAAGUACUUCUAUUUUAUAGUAAGCUUUAAAAACUGUAAUACAUUUGUCCAGUUUUGUUCUCUUUGUUAACUUCGCUGCUGACACAAGGCUCUACACUGGGUGGCGCUGUGGAGUAGUGUAGUGAGUGUUUUUUGUCACUGUAUCAAGUGUAUCUGCUGCAAACCUGGGGGCGCUGUUGCUAAACAUGUGGCUUCAUCUCUUACAGUAAUCCCACUUUGAAUGCAGCGGGUACAUUAGCACUGAGCCACUGGUUACCUGUGUGGCUGUACGCCUUCAGCAAACUUGACACUAAUUGCAGUAAAAGCAGAAGAAGCUUUUUAAUUAUUUCUAGGUCAAAGGUUAAAUAGGUCUUAAAUCUACUACAUUCAUGUCAUGUUGCUAUAGAUUUACUAGGUGGCGCUGUGGAGCAUCUCUGUUACAUUUCACGAUAAUUAUAUCCAUAGAACUAAGCAUGUGACAAACAAAAAAUCUCGACGGUUGACGUCGUAAACGUCCUCCAUGUCGUUCAGCUCACUCAUUUGUAAACUGCUAAAAAAUAAAGGUUUAUCCACUAAAUAUGUAAAGGGAAAGUUAGGAAAGGAGUGAAGUGAAGACACUAAACUUCAACUGUGUGACGGGUUUGGCGUCUGCGGAGGGAGGAGGAGGAGGAGGUGAGCCUUCUUCCUCUUCCUUCAGUGUUAAAGUGGGGUAAACUCAAAGCCAGACCUUGAAAAUUGCAUGUCCUCAUUUAGCUGUGUUUAACACGCAGCUGAAGGAAUCAUGCUGCGAGCAGAGAAAUAAAUAGAAUCCACAAUCAUUUGUGGCGAAAGGAGUGCCGACUCAGCUGGGGCGCACCACUGUAGGAGAUGGAGAGUCGGAGCUGUCGCCUCCGCCGCCGCCGUCGCCAAAUGACAAGAGCGUUUUGUGACAAGAAAGGAGAAGUAAAAAAAAAAAAGAAAAAAAAAAAAGGAGGUGUAGGGGGUGGGGUAAAGGGAGUUAGUGGAAGAGAAGGAGCCACAGUGUCUGACAUGAUGCCUUUUAUUUCCAGGUAUUUUUUGUGGUGAGGAUGUUGGCAGUUUGGGGCCAGUUCCUCUACUCUGUGUCUCACAGUGGUUUCUCUCACUGAUGCUGCUCCUCGCUGAUGCUGCUCUUCGCUGAUGCUCUUGUUACAGCCUAAUUGUUCUGUUGUGAGUGGCUGUUUCGCCUGAUGCUUUCUGGCUGUUUGUUGUUCAUCUUUGGUCAAGAUUAAACCUGGAUGUCUUUGUUUGUUUAAGAGUCCCACUGAGAAACGGCUCUUCUCUCUACGGCUCCAUGUACACAGAGAUGGAGUAUGUCAACGACAACAACAACAUUUGGUCCUCAGUAAAAGUACACACGUCCCUCAGCGCUGACCUUGUCAACUCUGACACAGAAGCUGCUCGACCUCAAACGUCUGCAAACCUACACUUCCAGCCAUCCCUGCCAACUCCUCUCUCUGAUGUAACCUUGUUGUUUUGACCUCUGGCCGCUGUCCAGUGACUUUCUGUUCCUAAAUGCACUCAACUGGCACCCAAGUCUUUCCCACUGACGUUUUCUUGCUUUUCUGUGAGCACACGUCGGAGGGGAAAUGUAACUUUAAACUCCAGUCAGUUCAUCGUGGAGCAGCGCAGCACUUAAUGAUCAGUCUGAACCACGGUGACUGUGGCGGAGCGUGGAGGACCACGUCUCCUCCACUUCCUUCACUUCUUUUCUUCUUCUCGUCCGAUCUCUGUCCCCAUGCAUUGUAAAGUUAAAUUAAAUCGAGAAUGAAAUUCUUUUUUGCUAAAGUGUGUGUGUGUUAAUGGCAUGUUUUAAUGACAGUGAGAAUAAAGAAUAAAGUCUGUGUCUGUCUGUACAGGAACAACAUGUGACCACUGAUGGACCGUGUUGACUUUGUCCACGGAGCCGUAGGACGUCCACAUCUGCAGCCUGUCAGGUCAGGUCAGCGCUGGACUGAGCCGAGGUUGAAAGGUGCCGUCUCUCAUUGGACCCCUCCUCUCCUCUCCUCCCCUGAUGCGUCUCCCGCCUCCUCUGAACGACGGAACUUCGCUGUGAUCUGUGCUGAAGGUGAAAAGGCCUGGACUCUUCCCCGGGUCUGUGUCGUCUCUGGUCGAAGCUUUUCCACAUGUGAAACACCGCUAACAACUGCCCAGGGAGGAGGAGGAGGAAGAUGAGGAGGAGGAUGGAGGCGUCCAUGUCUGUUCAAGCGUGUUUCGAUGAGUCUCCUCAGAUUUCUCGUCUAUGGGAAAAACCCACCGUUUUAUCAUCUCACUGUUAAAACAUUUAAUUUUCUUCUUUAUUUUCCUCCAUUUUAUCUUCACAGACAGACUCACAUGCAGGAGUAUAAGGAGGACACACACACACACACUCUCCUCCACGUUUCCAAACACAUUCUCUCAGACGAAGAGUCAGGAGCACAGCGAGGGGUUAAAGGUCAAGUUAGUGGGAUUCCCGGCUUUCACUCUCCUCUUGAGGUUCCAGGAACCAGAUCAGUGAUGAAACCCGGGGCAGGACCUGCUGUGGAACGUAAUCCAGGAGGAAGAGGAGAACCUGAUCAUGGGCUCAGGACUGGAGGCUGAGUGCUGAUCGUAGACUCCACUCACCCCCAGCUGCGCCACCCCCUCCUCAAAUCUGUGUCUCCAGCAGCCUCUGGCUGAGCUGAGCAGAGUGGUCUUCUUGAUCCCGUGGAAGCGGUUUGAAGAGUUUUUCAGCGUCUCCGCUCACUCUGACUGACAGAUGAGGUUGCUGGCCUGAAUCCUCCCAGCUUUGGUUCUGUGCUGCCGGCUCUCAUCCAAGCCUGAUCCCACAGAGGGGAGCUGCAUCUCCGUCAGGAUGGAUUUGACAGUGCUCCCUCAUCCCCAGGAUGUCCAAAGUGCUUUCACAGUUUCUGACCAAAGCCCCUCUUCUGACCUUGGUGUCUUUCAGCCGAGCCAACUGGAGUGUGACCAGAAAGCGUGUGUGUCUAUGUGUAUACGUACGUACAGGCCUGGUGUGUGUCUCGGAUGACUCCAUUUAAUUUCCUGUAUUUGGUUGUUAGUGAAGCCACUCUCUGACAUCCACUGGAAGUCUGUGACUGACGACACAGAUAUUACUCAGUCACAUAAAUCUUCAUUUACAAAAAUGAAUUUUCAGCCAUGCCACUGUGACAAGUUUUAUGUUGGUUUUAUUUAAGUAUUUCAGCACUUGGAACUACUGCUAAAGUUGAUUGUCUUGAUUCGUUUUACUUAAUAACUUUGGUGUUUGCUAACUGCUAUAUCUUAUUUAGUGAUUCUAACUGUAGGUUGUGGAUUUUAGAUUUGUCAGUUUUUGGCUUGAAUCCAUCUUUGAGUAUGUUUUGUUUUUCAUGAUUUUAUUUUAGAUCUUUUUUUUACUUUCUCUCAUCUCAUCUCAUCUUUCUUCAUUUAUCAGGUUCUGAAGUGACUGUCGCUGCCAGGAAGUCCAGAUUCUCCUAAACCACUUUCAGACAUUCCCUUGACCCCAUACUUAAAGCUCAACUGACUGAGGAGAAGAAAAUCCAAUGAACUUCCACAAUAAAGGACUGGACUACAAUGGAGCCUUGGCUCCUCCUUCAGAAGGUUUUCACAAAGAACCCGUAGUCCAUAGAUUCCCAUGUUUAGGCUGAUCUUCUGUCUAUGUCUGGAGUAUUUUAGUUUAACUUUGUCAAUUAUAUUAUAUUUUGCUAAAAAGGAACCACGUGUUCAGAGUUUAUUACCUGGACUGGACUUAGGUGAAGAAUACUUUGGUACAAUAUAUUACCACUGGAUCCUUAACUGAUGACGUCCCUCCCUCCCCUACUUUAUGUGUGUGUGUGUGUGCGUGUGUGUGUGUGUGUGUCAGGAGACAGACAGGACAUUGACUGGGUCAGGAAGUGACUGCAGUGUGUAGACAGAGGGGUGGGAUGUGACUUUCAUUGAUAAACCCCUCUCAGUCCUAGACCAGGAAGGAAGCAGCCCAGGCUGUGGGAGGCUGGGGGAGUCUGGGGGAGACACUAUGGAUCCUGAACUGGGACAGGAGUCCAGUCACUGCCAGCCAUUGAUCAGGAUCAUAAUCAAUCAGGAAACCAUUGAGCAGCCAGGUCCAGAAAUAGAGUGAAAAAGCACCUGAGUGUGUGUCAGGGGUUGGGGUCAACCUGGAGUCACAGCUGACCGUCUGAAGACACCCCCCACCCCCGCC